rnacentral:rRNA from 1 species
GUUGUAUGGUUAAGUGACUAAGCGUACACGGUGGAUGCCUUGGCAGUCAGAGGCGAUGAAAGACGUAGUAACUUGCGAUAAGCCCAGAUUAGGUAGUAACAACCAUUUGAGUCUGGGAUUUCUGAAUGGGGAAACCCACUUGCAUAAGCAGGUAUCAUUAACUGAAUACAUAGGUUAAUGAGGCGAACCGGGGGAACUGAAACAUCUAAGUACCCCGAGGAAAAGAAAUCAACCGAGAUUCCGAAAGUAGCGGCGAGCGAAAUUGGACUAGCCCUUAAGCUUUA